AGGAAGGUUAUUUGAUUUGGUGGUUUAAGGCAGAUGACUCUUUGUAAUUUUUAGGUUGGUUUUCUGAAGCUGCUCAGUUUGGAAAACGCGGAAGGUACUCUCUUUAUGGUCUUUACUUUUGUUGUUGUUGAUCUUGGGGUAGAAUGUAAUUGUUGCUUUGUAGAUGUUGUUGUCUUCUGAAGUAAUUGAACUGACUGCGUUUGUAGAUUUUGUAGUUGAUUUGUAAUCAGUAAUGUGAUGCCAUUAAAGCUUUUUCAACCAUUCUAUGGAGCCUUUUGUUGUCUCGUUAUACUGGAUGCAUGCACAUGUAAAUUCUGUUGGUGCAUGUCUGAUCAAGGUAGCUGAUUAGCUGAAUCGUCUUGGGUGUAGAUGAACAGAACUGAACUGCAAUCUUUUUUCCUUUUUUUAA